GGCCAGGUAGCUCAGUCGGUAGAGCAGUAGACUGAAAAUCUACGUGUCGGCAGUUCGAUUCUGCCCCUGGCCACCA
rnacentral:tRNA from 2 species